rnacentral:rRNA from 1 species
UUAAAUUGAAGAGUUUGAUCAUGGCUCAGAUUGAACGCUGGCGGCAGGCCUAACACAUGCAAGUCGAACGGUAACAGAAAGCAGCUUGCUGCUUUGCUGACGAGUGGCGGACGGGUGAGUAAUGUCUGGGAAACUGCCUGAUGGAGGGGGAUAACUACUGGAAACGGUAGCUAAUACCGCAUAACGUCGCAAGACCAAAGAGGGGGACCUUCGGGCCUCUUGCCAUCGGAUGUGCCCAGAUGGGAUUAGCUAGUAGGUGGGGUAACGGCUCACCUAGGCGACGAUCCCUAGCUGGUCUGAGAGGAUGACCAGCCACACUGGAACUGAGACACGGUCCAGACUCCUACGGGAGGCAGCAGUGGGGAAUAUUGCACAAUGGGCGCAAGCCUGAUGCAGCCAUGCCGCGUGUAUGAAGAAGGCCUUCGGGUUGUAAAGUACUUUCAGCGGGGAGGAAGGGAGUAAAGUUAAUACCUUUGCUCAUUGACGUUACCCGCAGAAGAAGCACCGGCUAACUCCGUGCCAGCAGCCGCGGUAAUACGGAGGGUGCAAGCGUUAAUCGGAAUUACUGGGCGUAAAGCGCACGCAGGCGGUUUGUUAAGUCAGAUGUGAAAUCCCCGGGCUCAACCUGG